rnacentral:rRNA from 1 species
UAAACUAGGAUUAGAUACCCUAUUAUUUUGAAUGAAAGUUAAAUUUAUCCUAGGUAAUAUUAGAUUUAUCUUUAAACCUAAAGAAUUUGGCGGUGUUUUAUUCUAUUCAGAGGAAUUUGUCCCGUUAUCGAUAGUCCUCGUUUUAUCUUACUUUAAUUUAUUUAGUAUGUAUACCGCCGUUAUAAGUUUAUUUUUUUAGAUUAUUUACUUAAAAAUUUAUUAUUUUUUAUUUCAGGCAAAGGGUGCAGA